rnacentral:rRNA from 1 species
AGAGUUUGAUCAUGGCUCAGAGCGAACGCUGGCGGCAGGCUUAACACAUGCAAGUCGAGCGCCCCGCAAGGGGAGCGGCAGACGGGUGAGUAACACGUGGGAACGUGCCUUUUGGUUCGGAACAACUGAGGGAAACUUCAGCUAAUACCGGAUAAGCCCUUACGGGGAAAGAUUUAUCGCCAAAAGAUCGGCCCGCGUCUGAUUAGCUAGUUGGUGGGGUAAUGGCCCACCAAGGCUACGAUCAGUAGCUGGUCUGAGAGGAUGAUCAGCCACAUUGGGACUGAGACACGGCCCAAACUCCUACGGGAGGCAGCAGUGGGGAAUAUUGGACAAUGGGGGCAACCCUGAUCCAGCCAUGCCGCGUGAGUGAUGAAGGCCCUAGGGUUGUAAAGCUCUUUCGGUGGGGAAGAUAAUGACGGUACCCACAGAAGAAGCCCCGGCUAACUUCGUGCCAGCAGCCGCGGUAAUACGAAGGGGGCUAGCGUUGCUCGGAAUCACUGGGCGUAAAGCGCACGUAGGCGGAUCUUUAAGUCAGGGGUGAAAUCCCGGAGCUCAACUCCGGAACUGCCUUUGAUACUGAAGACCUUGAGUCCGGGAGAGGUGAGUGGAACUGCGAGUGUAGAGGUGAAAUUCGUAGAUAUUCGCAAGAACACCAGUGGCGAAGGCGGCUCACUGGCCCGGUACUGACGCUGAGGUGCGAAAGCGUGGGGAGCAAACAGGAUUAGAUACCCUAGUAGUCC